GACGAACGCUGGCGGCGUGCUUAACACAUGCAAGUCGAACGGAAAGGCCCUGCUUGCAGGGUACUCGAGUGGCGAACGGGUGAGUAACACGUGGGUGAUCUGCCCUGCACUUCGGGAUAAGCCUGGGAAACUGGGUCUAAUACCGGAUAGGAGCCAUUUUUAGUGUGAUGGUUGGAAAGUUUUUUCGGUGUAGGAUGAGCUCGCGGCCUAUCAGCUUGUUGGUGGGGUAAUGGCCUACCAAGGCGGCGACGGGUAGCCGGCCUGAGAGGGUGGACGGCCACAUGGGGCUAGGGUGCGGGCCGGGCGGCCGGCGGAGGGCGGCGUGCGGGAGGAGAGGUCAGUCGGGGCACGCCUGCGGCAGCGGCGGGGGGUGGGGUAUGACGGCCUUCGUGUGGUAACCUCCUUGGGCUAGGAACGAGGCUUUGUGUAACGGUCACUAGGUAAGGAUCACCGGCUACCUACGUGCCAGCGGCCGCGGUAAUACGGGGAAGGGCACGCGUCCGCCC
rnacentral:rRNA from 1 species